AAGCUGAGCGGCGGUUGGCUGCAGAGGAGGAAGCUUGCUGAGCGCCCGGUGAUGUGGAGGAGGCCGGCAGCGCCUGUGUGCAUGGGGCCUGCGGGCGUAUGUGCAAGGAGUGCGUCCGUGCUUUGGCUGCGAGGAGUCGCUCGGCUUCCGUGCGCACGUUUGCAAGGACGUGUGAGCAUCUCCGAGGACUUCACGUGUGCUUCUGUGUUUGCGCCCCGGGCGCACGUUCGUGAGUGCGCGUGACUGCGCCCCUCCUGUGGGUGUGUCUGCGUGUCCGGUGUGUGUGUCGCCUUGACCCUCGGGCCCGUGGGCGUCGCAUGCACAGGCGUGGGCGAAUGAACGCACUGGGCGUGCCUCUGCAUGGCGAGGACGCGUGUGCGGGUGUGCACGGACGUGUUUGAGAACGCCUCUGGUGUGCCCGGGGUGCGCUGAGCGAGGUGCCCACCUGGACGUCUGGGAGGAUGUGGCCGAGGCGGUGAGUCUCCACGGUGCCUUCGCGUGGCCGAGCGUGACCUGAGUCCUCAGCACAAACCUGAGACCAGUCGCACACAGCGGCCGCCAUGACCGACGCAGGCUGAGAGCCUGCCCUUCUUCAGAACCGUGUCCCCUCCCUCGGCCUUCUGGCCCUACACGGAGCACGCAGCCCUGAAGAGCACCCCUCAGCCCAGCGGGCCUCUUCCCUCCGGGACGGAGGCUCAGUCCCCCUUCCUGGCAGCCUCUGUGACCAGCAAGCCAUGUUCCCCUGUACACGUGACAACAGACACUCGAGGCUCAAGGUCUGCAGUGACCGGCACGGGCCACCCGGGCAGGAGUGUUGGGGUACGUGACACCUUGUUUUCCUCUUCUAAAGAGAGAGUAAGCACCACCCCUGACAGGUCUCACCACGACCCUCCCCCGGAGCCCUCGCCAGCGACUUGGGCACAGGGGACCAUGCGGUGUUCACCUGUGCUGCCAUGCUGGGCCUCAUUCCACCACUUGUACAGAUUCUGGAAGGACCCCUGGCUUUGCCCAGCCCCAACCGAGGCCUCAGCCAAAGGCUCGUCCUGGGAGGAAGAAAGGAACCUGACGUUCAGUGAGCCCAUGGCCGGGCCCUUCCCACGCUGCCAUGUCGUCCACUUGAGUCUUGCUCGGAGAGAGGCGGCCACUCACCUGGGAUCACAGGUGGGAAGCGGCCAGCGAGGAUUUGAACCAGAUCUCUCAGGCUCAGGAGUGCACGCUGUGAGAGCCAGCAGGGGUGGAGGGCCAGUCUAAGUACGGCUGGCCUCUGGCCCCAGAGAGGAAGGAGGAAACCAUGAGACGUUGGCAGCAGUGGGGGUUGACCCGAGACAGUUCCGUGCAGCGGCACCCAGGGCCGAGGUGACACAGUCUCAUGUGAGUCCCAGCACAGCCCCGCAGGACUUCCUGUCCUAACCAGAGGCUGACUCCGGCCGUGGCUUCUCCCCAAGACCGAAGGGCACGUUGGGGAAACGUGACCAAGUGACUCCAGCGGAAGCGCCCUCCCCGCCGGCUGGUUGCCAUGGCUGACGUUCUGCCUCCACUCACCUCUGUCCCUUGGAGGCCCUUUCAGAGCAGAACCCCUGAGGAUGUCACUAGAGUCCUCGACUCAGCCCGAGGGGGCCUGGUCGGAGCAGAGGGUCCUGGCUUGGUGGGUGGACGUCCUUCUGGAGUGGAUAGGAGCAGCGGAGACGGGCCAGAGGGCAGCAGAGUGUGAAGGCAGGCCUGGGGAAGGCUGGGACCUGCUGGUCUCUCCUUCACCCUCAUUUCCUUCUCCGACAGCCUCUGGGGUGGCAGGCUUUACCCCCAAAUUUCUGAGGAAACUGAGGCCCUAGGGGACAGACCCCUCGCACAAGCAGGACUUGACUCCUCUGUGGACUUCAAGUCCGGGGUUCCUCUGGACCCCAGGGCUGCCAUCAGCUGGUGGAGGAGGCCAGCUGCUGGGUUUGGGCUCAAGCCGUGGUCAGCCAUGUGGGCGUCCCGGCGCCCGACCACUACGCCACCUGCUGGUCCCAGAGGGAGAGAAAGUGAGAAAGCAAGCUGCCAGGUCUAGACUCAAACAUGGUGGCCCACGUGGGAAGCCCGCGGCUCGGCCACCACAAGGCCUGCUGGUCCCGCAUUUGACCUUCUGGGGUGAUGAGGACCGGAGGGAUGCUCCAGGACAGGCCUUGUGAGGCUACGCAGGGAAGGCAGGAUGACAGGCCGGCGCCCUCCCCUCCAGGCCCCCAGGAAGUCCUCAUGGCACAGGGAAGCAGAAGUGGUCCCCGCCCACCCAGCUGGCUGCUGCUUCUGCUGUGGCACCUGCUGCUCCCCAGCCUGGGGGCCGCAGUGGCCACAGAGACCCCGCUGUGCUGGGCUUGUGCGCCUCCUGCCCACCCGGCUCCUGCUGCCUGGUCCUUCCUGCACCCACGAGAGCCCUGGCUCUGACCUCACAGACCUGGAACCAGCCGAGGGAUGGCAGAGCCCUGGGGCGAGCCCACUGCCAGCCCAGGUAGCGGCAGGCCAGUUGGGCCACCUGGUUCAGAAGCCAGGGCACCCCUCUGCAGCCCAGACUCAGGGGUGCCAGUGCACAGCCUCUCUGCCUGCAGAUCGGAUGGCAGCCGUGGCCCUGGAUCCCUCUUCCCUGCCCGGGUGUCCUGUUUCAGGCUCCAUGGGUGGCCCGGCCUGACCCCAGCCUGGCCUGAAGGGGAGACUGAGGCCCAGAGAGGAAACGGAACAUGCUGAUUAUACGCACCACCACCACCGCGCCAGCCUGGAAGGCUGAGUCCUGCCUGGAGAGGGAGGGAAGACAGUCCCACUCGGUGUAAGAAAAUCUUCACCAGGCCAGCAGGUGUGUGGCUGGGUCCCACAUGGUCUACUCCGCGGUUCAAGUCCUAGACCCAGUGGCUUGAAAAUCAUGCCAGGUGUGUGUGUGCGCGUGCGCGCGCGUGUGUGUGCGUGUGUGUGUGUUGAAAAUCCUGAGAGGAGACCGGAGGACAAAGGAUGGCCCUGUGGCCUUCCCUCUGGGGGCUGCUUUCUCGGUUUCCCCUCCCUCUGGAUCGGUCUCUCUGUUGUACACGCGUCUAUAGCAAACUAACAGGGAGAAACAUCGUCACUUAAGAGGUGCUCAGGGUGGAGUUUCAGGUGACUUUGUUCACGAACGUGCGUGUCUCUGCAUUUCCCACAUCCUCAGCAGGCAGGGAUUCACUCUGUGGUCAGAAGCCCCUCAGUAAUGGUACUGGUUUCUUCUUCCAGCACGAGGUGGUGCCUCCUUUAGGCGGUGUGGGAGAGGUUUUAUUAUUAUUUGCAUUUUUUAAAGGAAAAACCGGGUGGGGGGCAGAAGGUGGUGUGG